rnacentral:rRNA from 1 species
AGGGGCAGCAUGAGUGUAGCAAUACACUUGAUGGCGACCGGCAAACGGGUGCGGAACACGUACAGAACCUUCCUUCGAGCGGGGAAUAGCCCAGAGAAAUUUGGAUUAAUACCCCACAGUAUUAUGAAGUGGCAUCACUUUAUAAUUAAAGAUUUAUCACUUGAAGAUGGCUGUGCGGCUGAUUAGGUAGUUGGCGGGGUAACGGCCCACCAAGCCUACGAUCAGUAACUGGUGUGAGAGCACGACCAGUCACACGGGCACUGAGACACGGGCCCGACUCCUACGGGAGGCAGCAGUAAGGAAUAUUGGUCAAUGGACGAAAGUCUGAACCAGCCAUGCCGCGUGGAGGAUGAAGGUCCUCUGGAUUGUAAACUUCUUUUAUCUGGGACGAAAAAAGGCUUUUCUAAGUCGUCUGACGGUACCAGAUGAAUAAGCACCGGCUAACUCCGUGCCAGCAGCCGCGGUAAUACGGAGGGUGCAAGCGUUAUCCGGAUUCACUGGGUUUAAAGGGUGCGUAGGUGGGUUGGUAAGUCAGUGGUGAAAUCCCCGAGCUUAACUUGGGAACUGCCAUUGAUACUAUCAGUCUUGAAUACCGUGGAGGUCAGCGGAAUAUGUCAUGUAGCGGUGAAAUGCUUAGAUAUGACAUAGAACACCAAUUGCGAAGGCAGCUGGCUACACGAAUAUUGACACUGAGGCACGAAAGCGUGGGGAUCAAACAGGAUUAGAUACCCUGGUAGUCCACGCCCUAAACUAUGGAUACUCGACAUUUGCGAUACACUGCAAGUGUCUGAGCGAAAGCAU